rnacentral:rRNA from 1 species
GACGAACGCUGGCGGCGUGCCUAACACAUGCAAGUCGAGCGAAGUGUUUGAAGCUGAUUCUUUCGGGAAGAAGUUUCAAAUAUCUUAGCGGCGACGGGUGAGUAACGCGUGAGGAACCUGCCUUCCACAAGGGGAUAGCCUCGGGAAACUGGGAUUAAUACCCUAUGACACUUAUUUACUGCAUGGUAGAUAAGUUAAAGCGAAUUAGCGGUGGAAGAUGGCCUCGCGUCCCAUUAGCUAGUUGGUGAGGUAACGGCUCACCAAGGCGACGAUGGGUAGCCGGCCUGAGAGGGUGAACGGCCACACUGAAACUGAGACACGGUCCAGACUCCUACGGGAGGCAGCAGUGGGGAAUAUUGCACAAUGGGCGAAAGCCUGAUGCAGCGACGCCGCGUGAGUGAAGAAGGCCUUCGGGUCGUAAAACUCUGUCCUAAGGGACGAUAAUGACGGUACCUUAGGAGGAAGCCCCGGCUAACUACGUG